CAUCAUACGGCAAUGCAGAAGCAUCUGAACCACGGGAAAGUU
rnacentral:sRNA from 1 species